rnacentral:rRNA from 1 species
UCUGCCUUAUACUAAGGAAUACACAAAGAAAUUUGUGCUAAGCCUUAUAAGCUUACACUGCCUUAUGGUAGAGUAAGAAAAACUUUAGUGGUAUAAGAUGAGCCCGCGUCCGAUUAGCUAGUUGGUGGGAUAACAGCCUACCAAGGCCACGAUCGGUAACCGGCCUGAGAGGGUGACCGGUCACACUGGGACUGAGACACGGCCCAGACUCCUACGGGAGGCAGCAGUGGGGAAUAUUGCACAAUGGGGGAAACCCUGAUGCAGCAACGCCGCGUGAAGGAUGAAGGUUUUCGGAUCGUAAACUUCUAUCAGUAGGGAAGAAAAAAAUGACAGUACCUAACUAAGGAGCCCCGGCUAACUACGUGCCAGCAGCCGCGGUAAUACGUAGGGGGCAAGCGUUAUCCGGAUUUACUGGGUGUAAAGGGUGCGUAGGUGGCAUGGUAAGUUAAAUGUGAAAGCCCAAGGCUUAACUUUGGGAUUGCAUCUAAAACUGCCAAGCUAAAGUGCAGGAAGGAAAGUAAAAUUCCUAAUGUAGCGGUGAAAUGCGUAAAUAUUAGGAGGAAUACCAGUACCGAAGGCGGCUUUCUG